UACGGAGGGUGCAAGCGUUAUCCGGAUUCACUGGGUUUAAAGGGUGCGUAGGAGGGCAGGUAAGUCAGUGGUGAAAUCUCCAAGCUUAACUUGGAACUGCCGUUGAUACUAUCUGUCUUGAAUAUUUGUGGAGGUGAGCGGAAUAUGUCAUGUAGCGGUGAAAUGCUUAGAUAUGACAUAGAACACCAAUUGCGAAGGCAGCUCACUACUCAAUCAUUGACUCUGAGGCACGAAAGCGUGGGGAUCAAACAGG
rnacentral:rRNA from 1 species